GCGUGGCCGGUGCCGCAGGAGCCCAGCAUGGAGUACCAGGUAUCAGGCGGGCCAGCGGGCCGGGGCGCGACGACACGUGGGCCUGCGCUGAGCCGCAGAACAUCCGGGCUCUGCUAGCCGAGAGGGAUGCCGUGCGCAUGCUCAAUACCCUACAGACCAAUGCCGGCUACCUGGAGCAGGUGAAGCGCCAGCGGGGUGACCCCCAGACACAGCUGGAAGCCAUGGAACUGUACCUGGCACGGAGUGGGCUGCAGGUGGAGGACUUGGAUCGGCUGAACAUCAUCCACGUCACUGGGACGAAGGGGAAGGGCUCCACCUGUGCCUUCACGGAAUGUAUCCUCCGAAGCUAUGGCCUGAAGACGGGAUUCUUUAGCUCUCCCCACCUGGUGCAGGUUCGGGAGCGGAUCCGCAUCAAUGGGCAGCCCAUCAGUCCUGAGCUCUUCACCAAGUACUUCUGGCACCUCUACCACCGGCUGGAAGAGACCAAGGAUGGCAGCUGUGUCUCCAUGCCCCCCUACUUCCGCUUCCUGACACUCAUGGCCUUCCACGUCUUCCUCCA
rnacentral:sRNA from 1 species